GCAUAUCAAUAAGCGGAGGAAAAGAAACCAACAGGGAUUGCCCUAGUAACGGCGAGUGAAGCGGCAACAGCUCAAAUUUGAAAUCUGGCUCCCUUGGGGGUCCGAGUUGUAAUUUGUAGAGGGUGCUUUGUGUUAGCUGUGGUCUAAGUCCCUUGGAACAGGGCGUCACAGAGGGUGAGAAUCCCGUAUGUGGCCAGCAGCUUUCGCCUUGUAAAGCCCCUUCGACGAGUCGAGUUGUUUGGGAAUGCAGCUCUAAAUGGGAGGUAAAUUUCUUCUAAAGCUAAAUAUUGGCCAGAGACCGAUAGCGCACAAGUAGAGUGAUCGAAAGAUGAAAAGCACUUUGGAAAGAGAGUCAAAAAGCACGUGAAAUUGUUGAAAGGGAAGCGCUUGCAGCCAGACUUGCCCGUAGUUGCUCAUCCAGGCCUCGUGUCUGGUGCACUCUUCUGCGGGCAGGCCAGCAUCAGUUCAGGCGGUCGGAUAAAGGCUCUGGGAAUGUGGCUCCUCUCGGGGAGUGUUAUAGCCCAGUGUGCAAUGCGGCCAGCUUGGACUGAGGUCCGCGCUUCUGCUAGGAUGCUGGCGUAAUGGCUGUAAGCGGCCCGUCUUGAAACACGGACCAAGGAGUCUAACAUCUAUGCGAGUGUUUGGGUGUCAAGCCCGAGCGCGCAAUGAAAGUGAACGGAGGUGGGAACCCCUCGGGGUGCACCAUCGACCGAUCCUGAUGUCUUCGGAUGGAUUUGAGUAAGAGCAUAGCUGUUGGGACCCGAAAGAUGGUGAACUAUGCCUGAAUAGGGUGAAGCCAGAGGAAACUCUGGUGGAGGCUCGCAGCGGUUCUGACGUGCAAAUCGAUCGUCAAAUUUGGGCAUAGGGGCGAAAGACUAAUCGAACAUCUAGUAGCUGGUUCCUGC
rnacentral:rRNA from 1 species